AUACUUACCUGGCAGGGGAAAUACCAUGAUCACGAAUGUGGUUUUCCAGGGCGAGGCUUAUCCAUUGCACUCCAGAUGUGCUGACCCCUGCGAUUUCCCCAAAUGUGGGAAACUCAACUGCAUAAUUUGUGGUAGGGGGGACUGCAUUCGCCCUCUCCCCUG
rnacentral:snRNA from 1 species